UACGAAGGGGGCUAGCGUUGUUCGGAAUCACUGGGCGUAAAGGGCGCGUAGGCGGCCGAUCAAGUCGGGGGGUGAAAGCCUGUGGCUCAACCACAGAAUUGCCUUCGAUACUGUUUGGCUUGAGACCGGAAGAGGUUAGUGGAACUGCGAGUGUAGAGGUGAAAUUCGUAGAUAUUCGCAAGAACACCAGUGGCGAAGGCGGCUGACUGGUCCGGGUUCUGACGCUGAG
rnacentral:rRNA from 1 species